rnacentral:pre_miRNA from 1 species
AAAGUACUCCCUCCGUUCGGAAUUACUUGUCUCGGAUAUGGAUGUAUCUAGAACUAAAAUACAUCUAGAUACAUCCGUUUCUGCGACAAGUAAUUCCGAACGGAGGGAGUAGCAC